UACGGGGGGGGCAAGCGUUGUUCGGAAUUACUGGGCGUAAAGGGUUCGUAGGUGGCCAACUAAGUCAGACGUGAAAUCCCUCAGCUCAACUGGGGAACUGCGUCUGAGACUGGAUGGCUUGAGUGCAGGAGAGGAACGCGGAAUUCCAGGUGUAGCGGUGAAAUGCGUAGAUAUCUGGAGGAACACCGGUGGCGAAGGCGGCGUUCUGGACUGCUACUGACACUGAGGAACGAAAGCCAGGGGAGCAAACGGG
rnacentral:rRNA from 1 species